AUGGCAUACAAGAAGUUGAGCAACUUAACUACAAGGGGACAGAAUUGGAAUAUUCAAGUGAAAGUAAUGAGAAUGUGGGAUUCAGUGAAUCCUACGACCGAUGAGCUUAUUAGCCUAGAUAUGAUACUAAUGGAUGAGCAGGGUGAAACAAUCCAUGCUACUAUCUGGAAGAAUCUUAUAGACACUUUUAGAUCAAAGAUCAAUGAAAAGUCUAUUUAUGCAUUCAGCAAUUUUAAGGUCGUGGAAUCCACAAAAUAUAGGCCAGUGAGCAACGAAAUUAAAAUAUAUUUUGCAUACAAUACAAAGGUAAAGGAAAUAAAAGGAUCUUCGGAAGUUUUCCCGGAAUAUGGCUUCGAGUUUGCUACCAUGGACACACUAGAAGAAAGGGCGGAAAAAGAUACACAAUGCUCAGAUGUCAUUGGACUACUAACUCAAAUGAAGCCAGUGGAGACAAGAAUAACAAAAAGGAACCCACAACCUUCAUAUAUCCGCGACAUUGAAAUCCUAAUGCCUGAG
rnacentral:rRNA from 1 species